UGGUGGCAAAGAAUUGAAAAGUUAAGAGAUACUUACAAAUUGGGGAAUGGUUGACCAAGUUAUUGACUAUGAAUAUGAUGCAAUUCUAUUGUGCUGUAAGAAACAAGGGGUGUGGUUUUAUAAAAACCUGAGAAAACCUUAGUGAACUGAUGCAAAGUGAAGUGAGCAAAUCCAGCAGAACAAUCUACAUAGAUUUGUAUGUAGCAACAGCAAUCUGAUGCUACUCUUUACAGAUGACUUUGUAGUGAUUGCUUCAAGCUCCAGAACAUUGAAAAGAGCCCAACUUAACUAUCUAAGCAGGAAAAGAAAACAAAUAAAAAAGUGAAUACCUUUUGAUGAAAUUAUGACAUACAGAUGGAUGCAUCAUGAAAGGAUGAACAAGCAAUGAAGCUUCCUCCUCCUGGGAAUUCUCCAAACUGCCAAGAUGAGGGCAGUUUAAGUGAACAAGUUACUCCAGAGAAAAAAUAGAAAGAAGAAUUGUGGUCAGCUCCUGCUUUUGGACUGCUUUCCUGACUCCUAUUUCCUUUAAUGGAUUGACUUUCCAGAAUUCAACUGCUUUUAUGAGCUAAGAGCUACUGAAGAAGUUUCUGAUUCCUAGAGGAGCCCUUGACAGAUCCCAAACCUUUCCUUAAUAUCUUCCAUGACCUACAGAAAACUAUUCCUAGAGAAGAGGGAGACUAAUCAGGAAUACCUUAGAAGGCAAUAAGGCAAGUGCAACAAAAUUCUUGAA